rnacentral:lncRNA from 1 species
AGACGAGUACCUUGGUAUUGGGAUCCAACAUCUCAAGUAUUUAUGAAUGAACCAAUACUUUAUAACAAUUAACCAUUGAUUCUUUCUUUCACUCGACAAAGAGCAUAUGAACCAUUAAUCAUGUGAAAGCAACGUUCACACUCCUACCAUCUCUUUGCUCUCUCGCAUGUUCUGAUAUACACAUCCCGAAACAAACGUGAUCAAAGAAGAGAGAGAGACUGUGUUAGUAUCAAGGUGGUGCAGCUCAUUAUGGUUGAGCAAACUUUCACUAGAGAAAACAAACUUUUUACAUGAGGUCGAAACAAACACUUCACUUCACUUGGGAUUUGGGAGAUUCUCGAGAGCUUCGCUGGAGAAAUCUCUGCCGGGCUGAGGCACUUGCUCGUGUGGAAGACCCUUCACUGUUACUCUCUCCCCAUCUUUUUUCUCUUUGUUUUUCUUUAUUUCUUCUUCUUCUUCUUCUUCUUCUUCUUCUUGUCUUGUUUUCUCAGCUUCUCCUUUCUCCUUACUCUUCUUCUCCAUCUUUCUUACCACCCAAACAUUCAUGUCUUCUCUCUCUCUCAUACUUAUCAACUAAAACAAGGAUGAUGAAACAAACAGAUUAUGCCACGUUUCAGCUGGGUGGCACAACGUGUUGCCGCUUCACAUUUCACACGUACUAGUGGAUUUGAAAGCAUUCACACGUGUUGUAUUGUAGGUCAACCCUUUGACCAUGAGGGCAUUAGGUACUGAGAACAUUAGGUGAAAGCUUUGGUCCACAAGGCCUUUAACAAAGUGAGCUUUGAUCAUCAGUCAUGUGCCAGUUAACAUCUGAAAAGAAGAAUCUAUAUGAACUACUCUAACGGUGAAUUGGUUUGUGCUAUAUCUCUG